GCUCCCGUAGUCCAAUCUGGCAGAGACAAUAGGUUUAAGCCCUAUCAAGUAUGAGUUCGAAUCUCAUCGGGAGUACCA
rnacentral:tRNA from 1 species